rnacentral:rRNA from 1 species
CGGCCAGACUCCUACGGGAGGCAGCAGUGGGGAAUAUUGCACAAUGGGGGGAACCCUGAUGCAGCGACGCCGUGUGGGUGAAGAAGUCAUUCGUGACGUAAAGCCCUAUCAGCAGGGAAGAAAAUGACGGUACCUGACUAAGAAGCCCCGGCUAACUACGUGCCAGCAGCCGCGGUAAUACGUAGGGGGCAAGCGUUAUCCGGAUUUACUGGGUGUAAAGGGAGCGUAGACGGCGGCGCAAGUCCGGAGUGAAAGCCCACGGCCCAACCGUGGGACUGCUCUGGAAACUGCGGCGCUGGAGUACGGGAGGGGCAGGCGGAAUUCCUGGUGUAGCGGUGAAAUGCGUAGAUAUCAGGAGGACCACCGGCGGCGAAGGCGGCCUGCUGGACCGUGACUGACGUUGAGGCUCGAGAGCGUGGGGAGCAAACAGGAUUAGAUACCCCCGUACG